GUUCAGUUAAGAACUUCACUAAUGUCGCAGAGUUAGCACAUGGUAGACGCAGGGAGCAAACACAGGCCAUCUGUUCAUGUAGCCUAAGCUUUUAACUGCUACGCCAACUCCACUGCCUCAGGGAACAACUGGGCAUGGCACCUACAUUUAUGUGAACCCAACCCUCCAAAUUAUGAAGUCUCUGUCAUGCUAAUUAUCUGCAUGAGACAUGAGACAUCAGGCACUUAAAAACUCACCAUUACAGGGCCGGGUGCGGUGGCUCACAUCUGUAAUCCCAGCACUUUGGGAGGCCGAAGUGGGCGGAUCAUGAGGUCAGGAGAUCGAGACCAUCCUGGCUGACACAGUGAAACCCCGUCUCUACUAAAAAUACAAAAAAAAAAAUUAGCCUGGCGUGGUGGCGGGCGCCUGUAGUCCCAGCUGCUCGGGAGGCUGAGGCAGGAGAAUGGCGUGAACCCGGGAGGCAGAGCUUACAGUGAGCCGAGAUCGCACCAC
rnacentral:lncRNA from 1 species